rnacentral:rRNA from 1 species
AGUGAACGCUGGCGGGAGGCCUGACACAUGCAAGUCGAACGGCGGCACAGUAAGAGCUUGCUCUUACGGGUGGCGAGUGGCGGACGGGUGAGGAAUACAUCGGAAUCUACUUUUUCGUGGGGGAUAACGUAGGGAAACUUACGCUAAUACCGCAUACGACCUACGGGUGAAAGCAGGGGAUCUUCGGACCUUGCGCGAUUGAAUGAGCCGAUGUCGGAUUAGCUAGUUGGCGGGGUAAAGGCCCACCAAGGCGACGAUCCGUAGCUGGUCUGAGAGGAUGAUCAGCCACACUGGAACUGAGACACGGUCCAGACUCCUACGGGAGGCAGCAGUGGGGAAUAUUGGACAAUGGGCGCAAGCCUGAUCCAGCCAUACCGCGUGGGUGAAGAAGGCCUUCGGGUUGUAAAGCCCUUUUGUUGGGAAAGAAAAGCAGCAGGUUAAUACCCCGCUGUUCUGACGGUACCCAAAGAAUAAGCACCGGCUAACUUCGUG